AGGUAUGGAGACACACAAGAAGAGAGAAACUAAGAGACUUCACGGAAAAAUUGAAUGGACGAGUACAGCAGUCUUCUGAGUCAUUGCCUAUAACAGAUCACAUGGAAGCAUCAGAAUAAUCCUUAGGGCAGGGAAGUCCAAUCGAUUGACCCAGACUCAGUUUUGAGUAUGCAGCUGCUGGCAGGUAGAAAUUGAGCACCAUGACAAUUAAAACAAAAAUAUUACUUAGCUGUUGCUAAAAGAAGAAAAAAAGAAAGAAAAAAAUUCCAGCCACUCCCCUAGAACAUCUCACAAAAUGAGCCAUUCCAAAAAACUAAAGCUAAGGACAAUAUGGAUAAGUUUCUGUAAAAUCUAAAUUGAGAAGUUAGACAUAUCCAACAGGACUUGCAGGUUCCUCAUCCCAGUUUAGAAAGAUAUCAGCCAAAGGAGACUAGCUUCUAUAAAGGGGAUUUCCUGGAUUAAAGAGUAAGAAAAUUUUAAGACCCUCGGACUUGCAUAAAACCUACUUAAAAGUAUCGAAGUCAGAAGCAGACCAGGUUGCAAGGUUGACGGUGUAGUAUGCUGAGAAUAUCCUUCUGGGGAUGAACUUACUUUGGAGAAAAACAGUGAUGGAGGCUAAGGGCUUACCUAGAAUGACCAUAUGAAGAGUUGGGCUACACCAUCACUGAAAUCGCAGUCUCGUGCCACAAGGAGCCUACAGGCUGGCAAAGAAGUAGAGUGGUUAGAACACACACCCGAGAGGCAGACUGCCUGGGUUUCAAUUUGCCAUUUAAUAGUUUUGCGACUUGAGUGCGAUACUUAAAUUCUC
rnacentral:lncRNA from 1 species